rnacentral:rRNA from 1 species
GACGAACGCUGGCGGCGUGCCUAAUACAUGCAAGUCGAACGCAGUGGGGACUGGUGAGUAACACGUGGGUAACCUCCCAUCAGAGGGGAUAACCCUUGGAAACAGGUGCUAAACCGAUACUGAUGGAUGGACCCGCGGUGCAUUAGCUAGUUGGUGAGGUAACGGCUCACCAAGGCCACGAUGCAUAGCCGACCUGAGAGGGUGAUCGGCCACACUGGGACUGAGACACGGCCCAGACUCCUACGGGAGGCAGCAGUAGGGAAUAUUGGGCAAUGGACGAAAGCCUGACCGAGCCACGCCGCGUGAGUGAAGAAGGUUUUCGGAUUGUAAAACUCUGUUGGUAGAGAAGCGUUACCGAACCAGAAAGCCACGGCUAACUACGUGCCAGCAGCCGCGGUAAUUC